rnacentral:rRNA from 1 species
GACGAACGCUGGCGGCGUGCUUAACACAUGCAAGUCGAACGGUACAAUCUGAGUAGUAAUACGAGGGUUGUAUAGUGGCGGACGGGUGAGUAACGCGUGAGCAAUCUGCCUUUAAGAGGGGGAUAACACCGGGAAACCGGUGCUAAUACCGCAUAAGACCACGCUACCACAUGGUAGAGGGGUAAAAGGAGUAAUCCGCUUAAAGAUGAGCUCGCGUCCCAUUAGCUAGUUGGUGAGGUAACGGCUCACCAAGGCUGCGAUGGGUAGCCGACCUGAGAGGGUGAUCGGCCACACUGGAACUGAGACACGGUCCAGACUCCUACGGGAGGCAGCAGUGGGGAAUAUUGGGCAAUGGGCGAAAGCCUGACCCAGCAACGCCGCGUGAGGGAAGAAGGUUUUCGGAUUGUAAACCUCUGUCCUUGGGGACGAAGAAAGUGACGGUACCCAAGGAGGAAGCCCCGGCUAACUACGUG